GUAAGCCAACCACAACUUGGUGAAAACGUUUCUAUUAGUUAAAGCCAUCAUCCAGUUAAGCUACCAGAGGUCAAGUAUAAUAAUAAGCGAGUAUUGAGUAAACGACACUAAACGGUUAAUUAGUUUCAAAGCACGUGUGUUUUGUGUGACUUUUAAGUGAAUAAUAGUAGUUAAAAUUAAGUGGUUAUCAUGUAAUUUUGAGAUGGAAAAUUCGGAGAAAAAUCCAAACAGAAUCGAAAAGCUUCCUUGUUUGUUCCCGAAUACUUUCAUCAUUCUUUAACAGGGUGUACCUUGGUUCCUUGAGGAUUAGGAUCCGCUUCUACCAUAUUGUAUGACAUCAGUAGGAUAAGACCCAAGAAAGGAGCGACUAACUUAAGGAAAUGCAUUUUCUUCGACCUGGUUUGUACGCGACAGAAUUCGUAUGAAAUUAUUAGUAUGGGGGAACUUAUUUUAUACUCGUAUAUACUCGUAACGCAAUAAAAGUUCUUUCCCAAAAUCGUUCGUCUUGAGUAUGGGAAAGAACUUGCGCUGCGAUCUCCUUAUUUGACGUACAUUGCUAACAUAUCCAGUUUAACCAGAAUUAUUUAAGAUGACCUAUCUAGGGAUUCAGUUGAUUUGAAAUCAAGAAGCUGAAAAUGAAUUUCCUAAAGUGUAUUGUUCCUUUGCUUGGCAUGUUUUUAUUGAUGUCAUCCAACAUGGUAGAAGCAAAUCCUGAUCCUGAAGCAGCUAUGGAUGUAACCGCCCCGUUUGGAGAGUGAUGAAUAAAUGAAAAAAUAAAAAAAUUAAUAUUUAUUGCACAAACCAA